CCAAAAACGACUCUCGGCAACGGAUAUCUCGGCUCACGCAUCGAUGAAGAACGUAGCAAAAUGCGAUACUUGGUGUGAAUUGCAGAAUCCCGUGAACCAUCGAGUUUUUGAACGCAAGUUGCGCCCGAAGCCAUUCGGCCAAGGGCACGUCUGCCUGGGCGUCACGU
rnacentral:rRNA from 1 species